UACGGAGGGUGCGAGCGUUGUCCGGAAUCACUGGGUGUAAAGGGUCCGCAGGCGGACAAGCAAGUCGGUGGUGAAAGUUCACGGCUCAACCGUGAAAUUGCCUUCGAUACUGCUUGUCUUGAGUGUGGGAGAGGAUGAUGGAAUUCAUGGUGUAGCAGUGAAAUGCGUAGAUAUCAUGAAGAACACCGGUAGCGAAGGCGAUCAUCUGGCCCACAACUGACGCUCAGGGACGAAAGCGUGGGGAGCAAACAGGAUUAGAUACCCGAGUAGU
rnacentral:rRNA from 1 species